rnacentral:misc_RNA from 1 species
GAUGAAGAACGCAGCGAAAUGCGAUACUUGGUGUGAAUUGCAGAAUCCCGUGAACCAUCGAGUCUUUGAACGCAAGUUGCGCCUCAAGCCAUUAGGUUGAGGGCACGUCUGCCUGGGCGUCACAUAUCGUUGCCUGAUGCCAGUUUCCUCGUGAUGGGUGACUGUGCAGGGCGAAUGAUGGCUUCCCGUGAGCAUUGUUGCCUCAUGGUUGGUUGAAAAUUGAGUCCUUGGUAGGGAGCGCCGUGAUAGAUGGUGGUUGAGUGACGAACGAGACCCAAUCAUGUGAGACCCCUACCGAAUUUGGCCUUCAUAACCCACAUGCGUCUUUGGAACGCUCAUGACGAGACCUCAGGUCAGGCGGGGCUACCCGCUGAGUUUAAGCAUAUCAAUAAGCGGAGGA